rnacentral:misc_RNA from 1 species
GAUGAAGAACGUACCGAAAUGCGAUAAGUAAUGUGAAUUGCAGAAUUCAGUGAAUCAUCGAAUCUUUGAACGCAUCUUGCGCUCCUUGGUAUUCUGAGGAGCAUGCCUGUUUGAGUGUCAUUAAAUUCUCAACUACACUGACUUUGAAUUGGUGUGGCUUGGAUUUGGGUGGGAAAAUUGUUGUGGGCUUUUUGUAUAGUCUGCUCCCCUGAAAUUGAUUAGCGGUACCUUUGUGGAACUGUCUACAGGUGUGAUAAUUAUCUACAUCCUAGACAUCUGCUGGAAUGCUGCUUUCUAAACCUUACUUGUAUUGACAAUCUUGACCUCAAAUCAGGUAGGACUACCCGCUGAACUUAAGCAUAUCAAUAAGCGGAGGA